rnacentral:rRNA from 1 species
CACGUAGGGGCCAAGCGUUGUCCGGAUUUAUUGGGCGUAAAGAGCUCGUAGGCGGUUCGACAAGUCGGGUGUGAAAACUCCGGCUCAACCCGGAGACGCCACCCGAUACUGUCGUGACUGGAGUCCGGUAGGGGAGUGGGGAAUUCCUGGUGUAGCGGUGAAAUGCGCAGAUAUCAGGAAGAACACCCGUGGCGAAGGCGGCUCUCUGGGACGGUACUGACGCUGAGACGCGAAAGCGUGGGGAGCGAACAGG